UACGGGGGGGGUAAGCGUUGUUCGGAAUUACUGGGCGUAAAGGGCUCGUAGGCGGCCAACUAAGUCAUACGUGAAAUCCCUCAGCUUAACUGGGGAACUGCGUGUGAUACUGGAUGGCUUGGAUUUGGGAGAGGGAUGCGGAAUUCCAGGUGUAGCGGUGAAAUGUGUAGAUAUCUGGAGGAACACCGGUGGCGAAGGCGGCAUCCUGGACCAAUAUUGACGCUGAGGAGCGAAAGCGUGGGGAGCAAACAGG
rnacentral:rRNA from 1 species